rnacentral:miRNA from 1 species
GGGAACUGGGUGUGUGUGUGUGUGUGUGUGUGUGUGUGUGUGUGUGUGUGCGCGCGCGCGCACCGGCUCCUGUAGAGCCACCUAUCCCUCCUUCCCU